rnacentral:rRNA from 1 species
AUUGAACGCUGGCGGCACGCCUAACACAUGCAAGUCGAACGGCAGCGGGGUGAGUAUUUAUACUUGCCGCCGGCGAGUGGCGAACGGGUGAGUAACGCGUGGGGACCUGUCCUGUAGAGUGGGAUACCCUUAGGAAACUGAGGACAAUACCGCAUAAGCUCUAUGGAGGAAACGCUGGGUAUUUAUACCUGGUGCUAUAGGAGGGACCUGCGUUAGAUUAGCUUGUUGGUGGGGUAAAGGCCUACCGAGGCUAUGAUCUAUAGCUGGUCUGAGAGGACGAACAGCCACACUGGGACUGAGACACGGCCCAG